rnacentral:rRNA from 1 species
CCCCUCCAUGUCCUGGGCCGCACGCGGGCUACAAUGUGGGGGAAAGAGGGCGCUGCGACUUGCGCAGGAGUGUGCCAUCCCGAAAGGGAGCGCGAAGCCUGAACCCGAGCUCACGUGUCGAGGAUCUGCGUUUGGAACGAACGUAGUGAAAGAGGAAUGCCUUGUCGUUGCGCUUCAUGAGAGCGCGGCGAAUACGUCCCUGCCUUUUGUACACACCGCCCGUCGCUUCAACUGAUUUUGGGGGUUUUGAGGCGCUUGGAGCCAGCAAUGGUGAAGGGCGUCGAGGGAUCGCCGGGAGAGGAUGAAGAAGUCGUANCA